rnacentral:tRNA from 1 species
ACCUGACUGGUUCAGUUGGUAGAGCAUGUGACUCUUGAUCUCAGGGUUGUGGGUUCAGACCUCACAUUAGGUG